ACCCGCACAAGCGGUGGAUGAUGUGGUUUAAUCGAUGCAACGCGAAAACCUUACCCACCUUUGACAUGUACGGAACCCUUUAGAGAUAGAGGGGUGCUCGAAAGAGAGCCGUAACACAGGUGCUGCAUGGCUGUCGUCAGCUCGUGUCGUGAGAUGUUGGGUUAAGUCCCGCAACGAGCGCAACCCUUGUCAUUAGUUGCUACAUUCAGUUGGGCACUCUAAUGAGACUGCCGGUGACAAGCCGGAGGAAGGUGGGGAUGACGUCAAGUCCUCAUGGCCCUUAUAGGUGGGGCUACACACGUCAUACAAUGGUCGGUACAGAGGGUUGCCAAGCCGCGAGGCGGAGCCAAUCCCACAAAGCCGAUCGUAGUCCGGAUUGUUCUCUGCAACUCGAGAGCAUGAAGUCGGAAUCGCUAGUAAUCGCAGGUCAGCAUACUGCGGUGAAUACGUUCCCGGGUCUUGU
rnacentral:rRNA from 1 species